GAAGCUGGGCAGAGAUCAUGGAGCGUUCUCCUUCAGCCUCUUCCCUCGCACGCGCUGUGGCAGUGCUGGUUCUCAUCAGCUGUUCCUUGACAUGUUCGGUGGCGAGGCAAGAUGCAGUUGCUCUGGAUGGCACUAGACCAACGGCCUCUCCUGCCCCGCCGGUUCCUCAUCCAUCAUACAAUCCGGGCCGGAAGCCAUACACGCCACCUCCAAGAAGGGGGCCGCCACCACUACCGCUCAAGACGUAGGCACUUGUGCCGCACCAAGAGACCCUGCAGGUUCCUUAGCAUCCAUUAUGCUUGAACCACCUAUAGAGCGUGUGUGCCAUCGAUUAGGGUGUGCUACUUGCUUGAGAAGUUAAGAUGCAAUGGAACUUUGGAAAGACUUUGUUUGCUUGGAAAA